rnacentral:lncRNA from 1 species
CUCAUAUUCCAGCUUCAUGCGGAUCGUCCGGCGGAAGAAACCCUUGCAGCCCUCGCAGGCGUGCACACCGUAGUGGAAGCCCGAGGCUUUGUCUCCACAGACUCUGCACUCCACAUUCAGUGCCCCCGAGGCCGUCUCCUCGCAGCCCAUCUGCAGUUGGUCUGACAGGGAGGGAGAGGAGCUCUGCGAAAGGUCGGUGUAGCUGCUCGAGGGCAGCGAGCUGUCUGGUCCUGCACUUGGGUCCGAGGCUCCGCUGGGCACUGUCACUGCCUCUUCCUCUUCCUCCUCCUCUUCCCUGACCUCAGGUACUUCCUCCUGUAGUUGUUCCAUAACUGAUCACCCCUCAGUGCCAAG